AGAGUUUGAUCCUGGCUCAGGAUGAACGCUGGCGGUGUGGAUAAGGCAUGCAAGUUGAACGGAACUAAUCCGACGGAAUCACCGGAAUGAGUAGCAAUACAAGUGAAGUGUGGAAGACGGACAGUUUAGUAGCAAACGAGGUAGUAAUAUUUUGGAACUUUCCCUUAAGCCCUGAAUAGCCCUUCGAAAGGAGGAGUAAUACAGGAUGGUCUCGCAAGAGUAAAGAUUUAUCACUUAAGGAUAGGCCAGAACAGCAUCAGGUAGUUGGUAGGGUAAUGGCCUACCAAGCCUAUGACGCUUAGGAGAGCUGAGAGGCUGACCUCCACCGAUGGGACUGAGACACGGCCCAUACACCUACGGGUGGCUGCAGUCGAGAAUCUUCCGCAAUGGGCGAAAGCCUGACGGAGCGACACCGCGUGAUGGAUGAAGUGCUUCGGUAUGUAAACAUCUUUUAUGAGGGAAGAAGUAUAUUGACGGUACCUCAUGAAUAAGGACCUGCCAAACUCGUGCCAGCAGCAGCGGUAAUACGAGUGGUCCAAGCGUUAUUCGGAAUUAUUGGGCGUAAAGCGUGCGUAGGUGGAUUUGUUAGUCGGGUGUUUAAACCAUGGGCUCAACCUGUGGAUUGCAUUCGAAACGUCAAAUCUUGAAGAUGUGAGGGGUGAAUGGAACUAUAUGUGUAGGGGUGAAAUCCGUUGAUAUAUAUGGGAACACCAAAAGCGAAGGCAAUUCACUGGCACAUUCUUGACACUGAGGCACGAAAGCGUGGGUAGCGAAUGGGAUUAGAUACCCCAGUAGUCCACGCCCUAAACGAUGCAGACUCGCUAUUGGAGACAUCGACCUCUCCAGUGGCUAAGCUAACGCGGUAAGUCUGCCGCCUGGGAAGUACGAUCGCAAGAUUAAAACUCAAAGGAAUAGACGGGGAGACGCACAAGCAGUGGAUUAUGUGGUUUAAUUCGAUGGUAACCGAAGAACCUCACCAAGACUUGAAACCCAAACGAAAGGCCUGGAAACAGGUCCCUCGCAAGACGGUUGGGCAGGUGAUGCAUGGUCGUCGUCAGUUCGUGGUUUGAACUGUUCCCUUCAGUGGGGUAACGAACGCAACCCUCGUCGUGUGUUUUAUUUGUCACACGAGACUGCCCCCUCCCGGGGGAGGAAGGAGAGGAUGACGCCAGAUCAGCAUGUCCCUUUGACGUCUUGGGCUACACACAUAAUACAAUCGCAUCGACAACGGGUCGCGACGGGGUAACCCUGAGCCAAUCCUUCAAACGAUGCGUCAGUUCGGAUUGUGGGCUGCAACUCGCCCACAUGAAGCCGGAAUUGCUAGUAAUCGCGGGUCAGCAAACCGCGGUGAAUACGUUCUCGUCUCUUGUACUCACUGCCCGUCAACUCAGGGAAGCUGGAAGUGCCCAAAGGCUUGAUUUAAUUCAGGACUAAGGCAAGUUC
rnacentral:rRNA from 1 species